GAAGAUUUUGUAAUGUAGCAAAUGCAACGUGAAAUAAUCAAUUACAAAGUGCAGCGGGUUAAGGGUGAGGGUUAUGCAAUCAUUUGAAUGGCACAAUGUGUCUUCACGUCCAUGAAUCCGCAGUAGACCUUCCUCGGUCAUGUUGGAGUCUAGGUUACAAAAAUACAGCAAAACGUUCAUGUUUUCUUAUUAAUUCCCAACAAGGUGGCAAGGCAACAAGUCAGCAGCCUAAGCUUUUGGACGCAGCCUUCCAAACCCCACAAAGAAUGAAUGGAAUUGUUCCUCAGGGGACCUGCAGUGGACUGUCUGAUGCAAUACUAUGGCAGAUGGUUGCAUGGAUAUAAUAUUCUCUCUGAUAAUAUCAUAGUAUCUUGCUAAAAUAUCAUGUUAAUAAACAACCUCUUUUAUGUCACGUGCUUAUGAAGGUCCUUAUAACAUAAUGUGUUUGUGUAAGCAUUUAAAUAAAUAAAAUAUCAUGAUCCAUAUGUGUUACCUUGUGUUGAGCCUUAGGUCGUGCAACCACCAGCAGCGCUUGAGCUUCGCCUCCAGCCUCGGAUAACUUUGCUCCAUUUUGGCCCGUCGACCAGUCAGCUCCGCCUUGGCUUCUCCCACCUUCAGCUCCGAAUUAUAUCUCAUGUUUAACUACUGUAGAGGCAUCAGAUCCAGCGGCAAAUCCCAGAAGUUCUGGCCGAGGUAAGGCUGCUCUCGGCGGGUUCAUGAGCGCUGAAUGGCUGCUGACGUCCUGGAGCUC
rnacentral:lncRNA from 1 species